GCUUGUCUCAAAGAUUAAGCCAUGCAUGUCUAAGUAUAAGCAUUAUACAGUGAAACUGCGAAUGGCUCAUUAUAUCAGUUAUAGUUUAUUUGAUAGUCUCUGCUAUUUGGAUAACCGUAGUAAUUCUAGAGCUAAUACAUGCACCAAGCGCGCUUUUACGAGCGCGUGUAUUUAUUAGAUACAAAACCAACCCGGGCAACCGGUCCUUUGGUGAUUCAUGAUAACUUUGCGAAUCGCAUAGCUUUAAUGCUGGCGAUGGGUCAUUCAAAUUUCUGCCCUAUCAACUUUCGACGGUAGGAUAGAGGCCUACUGUGGUGAUAACGGGUAACGAAGAAUAAGGGUUCGAUUUCGGAGAGGGAGCCUGAGAAACGGCUACCACAUCCAAGGAAGGCAGCAGG
rnacentral:rRNA from 1 species